GCGUUGGUGGCGCAACGGUUUAGCACACGCUCCCGGCAAGAGUGAGAUCUAUCUGUGUUCGAAUCCCGGCUGACGCA